UGGCACAGUGGUUAAAGCACUCAGCUGUUAGCUGAUAGGUCGGUGGUUCGAACCCACC
rnacentral:tRNA from 1 species